rnacentral:rRNA from 1 species
GACGAACGCUGGCGGCGUGCUUAACACAUGCAAGUCGAACGGGAAGAAAAGAAAGAGCUUGCUCUUUUUUGGAUUCUAGUGGCAAACGGGUGAGUAACACGUAAACAACCUGCCUUCAGGAUGGGGACAACAGACGGAAACGACUGCUAAUACCGAAUACCUUCCAAUUUCUGCAUGGAGAUAGGAAGAAAGGGUGGCCUCUACUUGUAAGCUAUCGCCUGAAGAGGGGUUUGCGUCUGAUUAGCUAGUUGGUGAGGUAACGGCCCACCAAGGCGACGAUCAGUAGCCGGUCUGAGAGGAUGAACGGCCACACUGGAACUGAGACACGGUCCAGACUCCUACGGGAGGCAGCAGUGGGGAAUCUUCCGCAAUGGACGAAAGUCUGACGGAGCAACGCCGCGUGAACGAUGAAGGUCUUCGGAUUGUAAAGUUCUGUGAUCCGGGACGAAGGCAUCAAGUUGAGAACAUUGAUUGAUGUUGACGGUACCGGAAAAGACAAG